AUACUUACCUGGCAGGGGAGACACCAUGAUUAGGCAGGUGGUUUUCCCAGGGCGAGGCUCAUCCCCUGCACUCCGGGUGUGCUGACCCCUGCGAUUUCCCCAAAUGCGGGAAACUCGACUGCAUAAUUUGUGGUAGUGGGGGACUGCGUUCGCGCUCUCCCCUG
rnacentral:snRNA from 1 species